rnacentral:rRNA from 1 species
CCUACGGGAGGCAGCAGUGGGGAAUUUUGGACAAUGGGCGCAAGCCUGAUCCAGCAAUGCCGCGUGCAGGAUGAAGGCCUUCGGGUUGUAAACUGCUUUUGUACGGAACGAAACGGCCCUUUCUAAUACAAGGGGCUAAUGACGGUACCGUAAGAAUAAGCACCGGCUAACUACGUGCCAGCAGCCGCGGUAAUACGUAGGGUGCGAGCGUUAAUCGGAAUUACUGGGCGUAAAGCGUGCGCAGGCGGUUAUAUAAGACAGAUGUGAAAUCCCCGGGCUCAACCUGGGACCUGCAUUUGUGACUGUAUAGCUAGAGUACGGUAGAGGGGGAUGGAAUUCCGCGUGUAGCAGUGAAAUGCGUAGAUAUGCGGAGGAACACCGAUGGCGAAGGCAAUCCCCUGGACCUGUACUGACGCUCAUGCACGAAAGCGUGGGGAGCAAACAGGAUUAGAUACCCUGGUAGUCCACGCCCUAAACGAUGUCAACUGGUUGUUGGGUCUUCACUGACUCAGUAACGAAGCUAACGCGUGAAGUUGACCGCCUGGGGAGUACGGCCGCAAGGUUGAAACUUAAGGAAAUUGACGGCUGAGCGNGCGAGACGACGACGAGGAGGAGG